rnacentral:rRNA from 1 species
CGGGGCUUAAAGUCUUGUAAUUGGAAUGAUGGGAAUUUAAACCUCUUCCAGAGUAUCAAUUGGAGGGCAAGUCUGGUGCCAGCAGCCGCGGUAAUUCCAGCUCCAAUAGCGUAUAUUAAAUUUGUUGCAGUUAAAAAGCUCGUAGUUGAAUUUCUGCUGCAUUGCUUGUGUCCCUCUGGGGUCUGUGCAUGUGGCUUUUUUCGGACGGAGUUUCUUUGUCUGAAUGUUUACUUUGAGAAAAUUAGAGUGCUCAAAGCAGGCUUUCGCCUUGAAUAGUUUAGCAUGGAAUAAUAAAGUAGGACUUUGGUUCUAUUUUGUUGGUUUUAGGUACCAAAGUAAUGGUUAAUAGGAACAGUUGGGGGCAUUCGUAUUUAACUGUCAGAGGUGAAAUUCUUAGAUUUGUUAAAGACGAACUACUGCGAAAGCAUUUGCCAAGGAUGUUUUCAUUAAUCAAGAAC